AACGAACGCUGGCGGCAGGCCUAACACAUGCAAGUCGAGCGAAGACUUCGGUUCUAGCGGCGGACGGGGGAGUAACGCGUGGGAAUGUGCCCUUCUCUACGGAAUCGUCCUGGGAAACUGGGCUUCAUACCGUAUACGCCCUUUUCGGGAAAGAUUUAUCGGAGAAGGGUCAGCGCGCGUUGGAUUAGGUAGUUGGUGGGGUAAUGGCCUACCAAGCCGACGAUCCAUAGCUGGUUUGGUAAGAUGGUCAAGCGCGAUGGGACUGAGACACAGACCAGUAUGCGACGGGAGGCAGCAGUGGGUAAUCUUAGAGAAUGAAGCCAACCCUAGUAUAGCCAUGCCGCGGAAGAGAUGAAGGCGGUAGGAUUGUAAAGCUCUAUCAGCUGGGAAGUUAAUGACGGUACCAGGAGAAGAAGCCCCGGCUAACUCCGUG
rnacentral:rRNA from 1 species